rnacentral:rRNA from 1 species
UACGUAGGGGGCAAGCGUUGUCCGGAAUUAUUGGGCGUAAAGCGCGCGUAGGCGGCCUUGUAAGUCUGUCGUUUAAACUCGGAGCUCAACUUCGAGUCGCGAUGGAAACUGCAAAGCUUGAGUGCAGAAGAGGAAAGUGGAAUUCCACGUGUAGCGGUGAAAUGCGUAGAGAUGUGGAGGAACACCAGUGGCGAAGGCGGCUUGCUGGGCUGUAACUGACGCUGAGGCGCGAAAGCGUGGGGAGCAAACAGG